CGGAAAUGACUCAGACAAAGAUCCAACGUAGUUUUCAUCCUUAUCAUUUAUAUCCAAAGAGCCACCAAGCAACAGCUCUCCCCACCUGAUGAAAUCCGAUUCUUCAUGUUGAAGCAUUCCCAUCGAAACCCCAACUGAUCUCAGUAGAAAAGGCACCAAACUCACUCUCAAUAUAUCCAAUGCACUAGUCUCGACCACAACAUCAAAGAACGAUUUCAUAAGCACGAACCAUCUUCAUAAGUGGAAUAAACACUCUCCACACAAACAACUGCAACGCAUUAUGAUUAUCCUCAUUACCAAACCCUGACUCAACCACCACAAAAAAAAACCUCAAAUUAGUUUAAUUCUUUGAAACCUCUAACAAGAUUCAUUUUUUUUUCCGAAGAACUCACCAGAACUCUUUAGUAGGUGACAAAGACCAGCCACCAACGAAGCAAUGUGGUUGCAAUCAUCAGAAUCGAACUUCUUCUCCUAUUACAAAAAAAAAAAAAAAACAUUGAAGCCUUUUCAAUAAACCCCAAUAGUGGACACGGAACUGAACUAAAGAAAGAUCGUUUACCUCCGCGUGAAAAGGCAACUCUUUGAUGAGGGAUUCGAAGAGGGAGGAGGGAGACACGCCUGUGGAGCUUAGGACACAGUCGAGAAAAGCGGGAACAGCUGUUGGAGGAACUUGUUUGAAGCUCAGCGACAGUGAAGUAAUCAGAGAGGAACUCAUUGCUCGAACUUCCGAAAACAAUGGCUGCAGCUAGCAGCCGGAGAUAGAUAUCGGAAAAACGUAAAACGAAUUUGAAAUUAGAUUUUUUUCCGACGAAUCCCUCUCUUAAACCCUAGUAGGUAUCUGAGGGGGAAAGAAAUUUCAAACAGGUCCCUAUACUUCUUUUUCCUUACAUAUAUUGCCUAAUAAAUUGGAUUCUUUUAUUAAUUUGGGAUUAAUUCGAGUGUUGUUACUUGUUAUGUUUUAGCUGAAGCAAAUUUAUUUAAAAAAAAUGCAGUUAUCUAAAAAAAUAUUAUUGAAAUUGUAAAUUAAAAAUUAUCCAACUAAUUACAAAAUAGAACUAUUCAAUUUGAUUGGUUACACAAUUUUUGAUAAAUUUAAAAUUACUUAGAACAAUGAAAACAUAAAAAAAUUCUAAACAUUUUAUAU